GAUGAACGCUGGCGGCGUGCCUAAUACAUGCAAGUCGAGCGAACAGAUGAGGAGCUUGCUCCUCUGACGUUAGCGGCGGACGGGUGAGUAACACGUGGAUAACCUACCUAUAAGACUGGGAUAACUUCGGGAAACCGGAGCUAAUACCGGAUAAUAUAUUGAACCGCAUGGUUCAAUAGUGAAAGACGGUUUUGCUGUCACUUAUAGAUGGAUCCGCGCCGCAUUAGCUAGUUGGUAAGGUAACGGCUUACCAAGGCAACGAUGCGUAGCCGACCUGAGAGGGUGAUCGGCCACCCUGGAACUGACACACGGUCCAGACUCCUACGGGGGGCAGCAGGAGGGAAUCUUCCGCAAGGGGCGAAAGCCUGACGGAGCAACGCCGCGGGAGUGAUGAAGGUCUUCGGAUCGUAAAACUCUGUUAUUAGGGAAAAAAAAAUGUGUAAGUAACUAUGCCCGUCUUGACGGUACCUAAUCAGAAAGCCCCGGCUAACUACGU
rnacentral:rRNA from 1 species